UGGGGAAUCUUCCGCAAUGGACGAAAGUCUGACGGAGCAACGCCGCGUGAGUGAUGACGGCCUUCGGGUUGUAAAGCUCUGUUAAUCGGGACGAAUGGUUCUUGUGCAAAUAGUGCGAGGAUUUGACGGUACCGGAAUAGAAAGCCACGGCUAACUACGUGCCAGCAGCCGCGGUAAUACGUAGGUGGCAAGCGUUGUCCGGAAUUAUUGGGCGUAAAGCGCGCGCAGGCGGAUUGGUCAGUCUGUCUUAAAAGUUCGGGGCUUAACCCCGUGAUGGGAUGGAAACUGCCAAUCUAGAGUAUCGGAGAGGAAAGUGGAAUUCCUAGUGUAGCGGUGAAAUGCGUAGAUAUUAGGAAGAACACCAGUGGCGAAGGCGACUUUCUGGAAGAAAACUGACGCUGAGGCGCGAAAGCCAGGGGAGCGAACGGG
rnacentral:rRNA from 1 species